AGAUAAUCAUGAAGCUCAAGUCCAGUUCGCAUUGGAACGUGGAAUUCCAGCAAUCCUUGGCAUCAUUUCCACUCAGAGGCUUCCUUUCCCCUCGAAGUCAUUUGAUAUGGCUCAUUGUUCUAGAUGCCUUAUCCCAUGGACGGAAUUUGGUACUUCCUCUAUGCAAUUGCUAUCAUAGUCUUUCUAACCUAGGCAGUACAGUUCAAUAUACACAGAUUUAAUGGUUAACAAUAAAAGGUUUGCUUAAAAUAGCAGAGUGAGCAUACACGGGUCUCGUGAUCUUUUGACAGUGCUGCAUAUUUUCCCUUUUUACCUCAGCAAUAUGAAACAUAUACAUCAGAAGUUGACAUAAGGGUUCUCAGCAUGCUUUAACUAUAUACUGAGAAAUUUCUAAUGUUAGUUUUGUCAAACUUUCAUGUCAGUGCAUAUGCUCCUGUCAGUUAUCUAGUGUUAAAUGUUAUUAUGUUUCUACCAGGUGGAAUUUACCUGCUAGAAAUUCAUCGCAUACUUCGUCCUGGAGGUUUCUGGGUCCUGUCUGGUCCACCUGUCAACUACGAACACCGCUGGCGUGGAUGGAACACAACUAUAGAAGAGCAGAAAACAGAUUACGAGAAGUUGCAAACUCUGCUAACUUCAUUGUGCUUCAAACUGUACAACAAAAAGGAUGACAUUGCUGUUUGGCAGAAGUUGUCAGAUAAUAGUUGCUAUGAUAAGCUCUCUGAACCAGAUAC
rnacentral:lncRNA from 1 species